UACUUCAAACGUUCUUUAAAAAGCUGCUAAUUUGCUGGCAUGCACAAAUACUGAAUAAUAGUCGGUUUGUACAAUACGUUCAGAUCAUCAAUAGUUAUAAAAAACUGCAUGAGAAGUAUCCAGAAUGGCGCAGAGUGAUUAGCAGUUACAGAAAACUGCUAAUCUGCUACCAUGCGCAAAUACUGAAAGAUAGUCAGUUUGUACAGUACAUUCAGAUCAUCAAUAGUUAUAAAAAAUCGCAUGUAACGCCCCAACUUUCCAGGGGAUCACCCAUCCUAGGACUACUCCCGUCCUAGCACGCUUAACUCUCUUAACCUCUUGGGCCUUGCCACCACCCAAAAUGCUUAAGCCGGGUUAAGAGUUUAGCCAUAUUAUAUCUCAUAUAGAGGACUAUCUGGGGUCUCACAAUCUCCCCUCCUUUAAGCUCUGACGUCCUUGUCAGGCUCAGACUCACAAGUAUCAGACGAUGUGAGACUCGUUUCGCUAGCUCGUCAUCCAGACCCUGGCUCAGCCGAGACUCAUCUCACGCUUCCGGCUGGUAAUUGGCUCUGAUACCAACUUUGACGCCCCAACUUCCCAGGGGGUCGCCCAUCCUAGGACUACUCUCGUCCUAGCACGCUUAACUCUCUUAACCUCUUGGGCUUUGCCACCACCCAAAUUGCUUAAGCCGGAUUAAGAGUUUAGCCAUAUUAUAUCUUAUACAUAGGACUAUCUGGGGUCUCACACC
rnacentral:lncRNA from 1 species